AAAAAGGGUAAACCUUGAUUUCCGUGUCCAACUUUGACUGUCCGUCUUAUAUGAAAUUUUUUUAUAAUUCGUAUUUUCAUUAUUGUUAGAUGAUAAAAUAUGAUUAAUAUUUUAUACGUGACUUGUCUUUUUAAUUUUUUUCAUAAUUUUUUCAAAUAAAACGAACAAUUAAACAUUGGACACGGAAAUCAGGGUUUGUCUUUUU
rfam:Oryza sativa Japonica Group DNA, chromosome 6, cultivar: Nipponbare, complete sequence.